GCACGGAUGCCCGAGUGGUUAAGGGGGUGGACUUAAGUUCCCCUGGUCGUGAAGACCGCGUGGGUUCGAACCCCACUCCGUGCA
rfam:Cyclospora cayetanensis strain CHN_HEN01 contig_244, whole genome shotgun sequence.